GACCUGUAGCGCAAUGGAUAGCGCGUUGGAAUUCUUAUCCAAAGGUCGUGAGUUCAAAAUCCAUCUGGGUUG